ACACUGUAAAUUCAAAUUUAAUCAAGUACUUGUAUAUGUAUGAAUAAAUAUACGAUAUUUUACGUCUGUUAUUUCAUCAUCGUGACACCAUUCAGUAUAAAGUAUUGAUAAAGAACGAACAUAGCCAGAAUCGAUAGCAUUAAAAUUACAGAGUACCAAUAGUUAAAUGUAAAGUGUUAAUGUCCCCGAUUCUAUUCUCGUACGAGCGUAUUAAUUACACCAUGUAAUCUUUCAGAUCAACUUUAUACAAUUUGUGUUGUAUUAAGUUUCAAAUAAAAUUAAAUUCUAGACGAUUUAACAUGUUUCAAAGCCUUAGUUAUAUUUUAACCUUCUGCCUACUGUGCCGGAGUCUUUUUUGACCCGUGUUGAGAGCUACUCGAAUGCAAUAACGCACACAGUGAUGGGAGCUGCUUGUGUUAGUAGCUGAAACCUGAUCGCACCAAACACUAAGUGGCUAACACGUGUCUACCAAAGUUCCGAAGUGACGAAGAUUGAAAAGAAAGAAAUCAGAUUUUGGUAACGCUUUGAGGAGGAAAGACGUGUGCAGCAAAUAAAAGCAAUUAUUAUUUUUGUUCUUUUUAUUACUUUUUUCCGUUGUUUCUAUUUGUUGACAAAAUGUUCUCAUUGCCAACGAGUAAUAUUUCUUUGUCUUCUUUCGCUGAAUAGACGUUGCACACAGUAAACAAUCAUCAGACAACGGAAGUGUAUCAAAUAAUGACGCUGAACCCGAAAUGUAAGAUUCCGAAGUUGAAAUGUAAGACAAUGUAUCAGAAACUGUUGAUAAUAUAGUUCCAGAAAACCAGGAAUUUUGACGUAAUUGGCAAUGUAUUGGAUCUAGCAAGGAUACAGCGAUUGUCUCUUGUCAAUAUAUAAAUAUAAAUAAAUAUAACUUUAUUAUUCA